CAAUUAAAUUUAAUUCCAUAAGUUACUCAUGUGAGGGUCUGAGUCGUUCAUGACCGUGAGCACGGCUGAUAUACCAGUUUUACACUCUGCAGAGGUUGCACAUCUUUAUCCACAAGUCAUGUUACCCAUCUGCCAUGGGGUUGUACGGGCCCCAUACACAUCUACCAAGGAAGCAAGGCAGGGUAACACUAUGAGGCCUUUACAAAGUUCCAUUAGCUUCAGAAAACUCGCUACGGUUUCUAAGGAGCACAAUAUAGAAAUCCCCCGUCUAAAAUGCCAUCUCAGCAAGAUCAACCUGAGAACCUCCCUAUACCAAGAACUCCCCUACCGCCCUUGCCCCUAUCGGGUAAGGUAGUCCUCCACUAGCUUUCCUAAUUAGUUAGCCAAGGGCGUCCCAUACCACCCUUGUGGUAGCACUGUUUUCCCAGGUGGUUCUCCCUGUUCCAAUUAACAAAAUGAUCUUAUCAUGAAUAGUACAAAACUCAUUUGUAAUAAAAGCAUGAUCACGAAUAAUGUGUAUCUUAACACCCAAAACCACAUAAAGCAAUAGCAUAUACUACCCAAAAGUUCAGUGGUAAACAAGGUGUAAAGAUGACCAAACUAGGGUGACCUAUUGGGUCCCAUCAAAAUUAACCUAGCAUAUCAUAAUGAUUAACAGGAACAUUAUUGGGUAAAGAAAAGUGAUCAAGGGCAAAACUUGCCUUCAACGAGCUCCUACUCAGUAUUUUCCACCUGAUGAGUACCGGGAUCCUCGGUUGCUUGCUCGUCUAAUCGCAACAAUAUAAACAAACAUGGUAUAGGAGAUUUUAACAUCACACCAAACAUGAAAACAUAUUGUAUAAUAAUGUUAUACGCAUCGUAAUUAGAUCGUGGGUUUGAGAAUCACUAAAUUCAGAGUUACGAUUAAAGAGUUAUGAUUUUCCGAAGUUUUAAAUGUUAAGUAUAGAAUAAAUUAAGUGCAUAAUUCUAACCUAUAUUUUAUGAUGAAACAGGGUUACCAUGUGAUAAACAACAUUAAUAUGAAUUUAAUGCAACUGGAAUGAAUAAAAAAGGAUUUAAAAUGAAUUUCUUAUAAAUUAAACAAGGUUCUGGAAUUAUUUCUAUACUAAAAAUUAUUUUAUGAAUUACUUUAUUCCAUUUAUUCACUCCCUGGGCUGUGACCAUAAAUACAGGGGAACCUAGGGUCUAAAUUACAAUUUACAGGGACCUAGUCAUAAUUUCUUUUGAACUAAUCUGGACGGUGGGUUUAUUCCCUAAAAGAUCGAGGACUCUAAUGCAAAACGUAGCCCGCGAAGGGGUAUCUUUUGUUUCUGGCCGAUGGAUCAAAGAUGUGCAUCCCAGAUUAAGUCGGCUCAAUAUGCGAACCGCUAUCCACACGUGACCCUCUGAUCCCAUAUCUACGACCACGAUUUAAUGAAGUACGAUUGUAAGUCCAUUCCAUCUGAUCCCGAUCGGACGCACCUGAGCAAUCCGAACGAAAUGAUACGAGUGAUCUAAUCACACCCACAUACCCCGAGAUCUACGGUUCACACGGCGACACCCUUUGGUUAAAUAUCGAUGGCUCAUCCACUAAUCAAAGGGGAAGAUUUCUUGGAUCAACCGUUUACAAGAGGUCUGGCCCUAGCCUUUGAUCAAGGGAUCAACGGUCCACAGAGAUCCCCCUAGCUCCCGACGCCGGCGGCGAGAGCUCACCAAUUCCCGCACGGCGGUGCCAUUGCAGCGCAUGGUCCUACGCCUCCCUAGCGUUCCUCCUCCACUGAAAACCUUAAAUAUGUAAUGCAGAAGAUAAAGUGGAUUGGGUCUCAAGGUUUUACCGAUGGAUGAGGCGGCGACUGUUCCGAUUCACAGCGUUACACUUCCCUUCGCCUCCGAUGGGCUUGCGCAGGUACCCGCGCACACCCGAUAACCGGUGAACACCUCUGGUGAGGCACGGUAGGGCACAACGAACCUUUCCUCCCCCACGACAGAGACCCCGGCGUCGUUGGCAUGGUUUCCCUGCACCAACCCGAGGUCUUUCUCUCUCUCCCACGCUAUCUUUGCUCCGGCGAACUCGCGAGGUCCCUCUACGGUGGUGGUCGCGAGGAGCAGCAAGG
rnacentral:lncRNA from 1 species